rnacentral:rRNA from 1 species
CCACACUAACAAGCAAUACGUAUUCCUCAAUCUGUUAAGCCAACCCAGGAGCGCCCACAGGAUGAUUAAAACCUACAGAAGGAACUCGGCAAACCAAAGACCCGACUGUUUCCCAAAAACAUAGCCUUCAGCUAACAACAAGUAUUGAAGGUGAUGCCUGCCCAGUGACCCCCAAAGUUCAACGGCCGCGGUAUCCUAACCGUGCGAAGGUAGCGCAAUCAAUUGUCCCGUAAAUUGAGACUUGUAUGAAUGGCUAAACGAGGUCUUAACUGUCUCCUGUAGGUAAUCUAUGAAAUUAGUAUUCCCGUGCAAAAACGAGAAUGUGAACAUAAGACGAGAAGACCCUGUGGAACUUUAAAAUCACGACCACCUUACAACCUUACACAGCCCCACUGGGUCCACCCACACAUAAACC